UGCACCGGCAGCAUAUGGAGGUUCCCAGGCUAAGGGGUGAACCUGAGCUGUAGCCAUUGGCCUAUGUCAGAGCCACAGCAAUGCAGGAUCUGAGCCAUGUCUGCAACCUACACCACAGCUCACGGCAACGCCAGAUCCUUAACCCAUUGAGUGAGGUCAGGGCUCCAACCCAUGUCCUCGUGGAUGCUAGUCGGGUUCAUUAACCACUGAGCCACGACAAGAACUCUGGAAAUAUUUAAUACUAUAAGAAAUUUCCUUUGAAAUAUUAUAUAAACAUGGGCAAAAAAGUUAGAGCUUUGCUUUCAUAUAAGAUGUUAAUAAUAAGCAAAAGUGUGGAAAGAAAGGGAAGGCAAGUUAGGGUAGUCUACAUCCAAAACUCAUAGGGUAGCAGGUCAUUGUCCUAAAGAAUGGUAUCUCUUACCAUUCUGUCCAAUAGGGACAAAUAUUAGGAGCCCUCAUAGCAUGACUGUGGGAAGAUAACUCUAGAUUGGUGAUUUAUCUUUUGUCCUUUUUUUUGGGGGGGAGGGGCUGCACCUGUGUCUUAUGGAGUUUCCCAAGCUAGAGGUCAAAUCAGAGCUGUAGCCACUGGCCUGUGCCACAGCCACAGCAAUGCUGGAUCCGAGCUGCAUCUGGACCUACACCGGAGCUCGUGGCAAUUCCCAAUCCUUAACUCACUGAGGGAGGCCAGGGAUUGAACCUGUGUCCUUAUGGAUACUACUCAUAUUCAUUUCUGCUGAGCCAUGACGGGAAAUCCAAGAUUGGUGAUUUUUAAUCCAGACCUACUGAGUCCAAGGCAGGUGCAUUCUGAAAGGACCCCAGGGAUUUCUGAUGUUCAUAUGUAGGUAAAAGUCACCAUCCUACAUGGGAGUGAGGAUUGCUCAGCCCCCAGAACAUGGUCUCAUUCUAGAUUUAGUCUACUUCAAAAAAUGUCACGAUAUAGACAAAAUACUCCUGAAGUUCCUUCAUCCAUGAGAAAGAUGCAACUUUUCACCUGUACUAGAAAAGCUUCAAGGUGGGCAACAGAUUGAUAAGGGUUUUCCACUUCUCCCCUGGGGCAUAGAAGAAAUCCCAGGAGUGACUCUGCUAGGUUUUAGCUAUCAUUUUUAAGAAUUUCAGUUUAUGACCCUCAAAGUUUUUAGUUACACCAUGGCUAAAGGGGUGGGACACUCAGAUAAAACACAUCACACAAUUUCACAAACUGAAUUUGGAGUAAGUGGAUUUUGUUAAUUAUAGCAGCCCUUUGGAUAUAUAAUGAAACUGUAAUAACUAUACAAAAGUAUAUAGCAGCACAAUUUGCAAUUUAGGAAUAUUGGAUAUCACAUGGAAAAUUUGAUUUAAAAACGGUAAAAUAUUUAAAUGAUGUGUUGAUUCUGCCCGAUUCUUAGCUACGCUUUCCCCUUUUCAAAUAAGGUUGGAACCUGAUAUGAGUAGACAUAAACACUCAGCUGCACAUGCCCUCAUCUCUCUCUUCCUUCCUCACUUACAUUCCCUAUGUAUCACCUUCAAAUGCAAAGGGCUACUACUGUGACCUUGGGAGUGACUGGCAAAAAUGUGUGUGUGUGUGUGUGUAUGUGUGUGCGUGUGUGUCUGCACAUGCACAUGUACAUACAUGUGUGUGCACAGUAGGGCAUAUUUUCCUUUUCGAUGAAGGAGAGCUGCAGUUCCAGUAAUCAUAGGUAGGAUGAACUGCUUAGAAUAUAUUAUACACACACACAGAGGCAAGUCGCUUCUAACAUGUUGCUGCUUUUGCUGAUCCAUCAAAUGUUCUAAGAUUUUUGCAAAUGUAGUCAAUAUCAGUAAUAUAUUAACCAUGCUUCAUUCACAAACUGUUUAAUUAUUUCCUCAUUGGUAAAGAAGAAUGGAAAAUAUGUAUAAUGUAAGCAUCACUAAGAAAUGAUAUACAAGGAAUUGGGAGAGCAGAUAAAGGAUAGACACUGCCUCAUCCAGGGAAUCAGAGUACUUCAUCUGAGAGAGGAAUGUUCCAUUUUUUUGGUUGGAUGCAAAUGUCAGGAAUAGAAAGUCAAAACAGAUCUUUCAACUUUUUUGAAAUAUCCUAUUUCUGCUCCAGCAUCCCAUCCACAAGAACUACUGCUCUAAGGAAUCCAACCCCUCCCAGUUAUUUGUUCUUACAUACGCAAUUGUUCAAGUCAUUAAAUGAUACUUCUCUGCCUUAUUUCAGCUCCUUAGCAUAACCUGCUUACUCUAAGCCCAGACUUCUACAUACGUGCUUCACCUUUUCACAACCAAUUCAUUUGCUAUACAGAUAUUUACUAAAUACAACAGCCUUCAGAAUCCAAGGGUUCUGUGGAUCCAACCAAUCGCAGAUAGCAUAGUAUGCUUAUAAUUCUCAGUUGGUUGAAUCUCUGGAUGCAGAAUCUGCCCAUGUAGAACCCGUGGGUAUGGGGGUGACUAAGGGACUUGAACGUCUGUGGAGUUUGGUAUCCACAGUGCUUCUUGGAACCAAUCUGCCAUGGAUACCGAGGGUCACGUGUACCUAUUAUGUGACAGGCAUAUUGCUAGGCACUCGAAUAUGUCAGUGUAAAAAAGAGGGGCACUCCUGCCAACAUGGGCAUAUUACUUCAGGAUUUCUCAACCUUGGCACAGCGGGCAUUUUAACCUAGAUAACUCUUUAUUGUAAGGUCCCAUACCUUGUGUUGUAGGAUGUUAAGAAGUAUCCAUCGGAUGCCAGUAGCACGCCCCCAGUGUGACAACUCAAUCUCUAUACAUUGUCAAUUGUCUCCAGGGAGGAACAAAAUCACCCUCAGCUGAGAAGCUCUGGGUUACUUAGUAGCGACCGUUACAGUGGUGAUUUAUAUUUAGUGUAGUAAUAAUUAGAAUACUGUCUUCUCACACAAGAUGAUACCUGUUUCCGUAGAACACACAGUAUCUUUUUCUUUUACCGCAUUUUUAGCUUCUUGGACAAUGACUAGUAUACAGUAGGCAUUAAAUAAAUACUUGUUAAGGGACUGAAUGAUUAAACCAAUACUUGUACAUCUCUCUCAAAUCUGAGUUAGACAUUUUUGUUUCAUUAUCUUGUUCUGCAUACUUCAGCAUACUUAUUAUACUCUAUUAUAAUUGCCUACAAUUUUUGUCUGUCCCGUCUCUUUCUUAUUCAUGAAUGAUUGGCUGAAUGGCAAUACCAAUGAUUACUAAGCAUUCAGGAAGAGGUAGGCAUCAAGCUAGUUCAUUUGUGCUAUGCAUAUCCCCUUUUCACCUUUAUAAAAAAUUUGAAAAGAAAUGAUAUAAUCUCCAUUUUCACAGAACAGGAGCCAACUUGCCCUAGGUAUGAUGUAGUACAGUUAGACUCUGAACUUUCUAAGGCUUAUUCUAAAACCCAAAACUUUACCUGCCUACACAGGUAGAAAUUUCUUGGUUUUGUCUAUGAGAAGUAGUGAGUGAGUUAAGAAAUGGCAAAUUAAGAACCCAAUAUUUUUCAUUAGGUAGGUAGAGGAAUAACAUUUAAAAUUAUUACUGGGAUGCAAUUAGCUUAAAAAAUAAACAAAUCAUUUUGUGGAUGAGAUAGGUUCCUGUUACCUAGGUUUUUUGGGGUGGCCAAAAUUUCAUUUGAAACCGCAUAUAUAGGGCAUGAAUACUGACAAUGGGAUAUCAAUUUGGUCAAAAUUAUGUUUUUAGCCAAAUAUAUGUUUGUUUAGCUAAUAAUAUUUCUGCCAUGUAGCACUUUAUUGUGGAAUCAAUAGUAAGUUUUAAAUAUAAAAAUAGCUUUUAAAUCUUAAGACAUUUGUUUUUCAAAUUCUUUGACAGUUGUAGAUUUUAAGAAAUAACAUGGUUUUGGAAUACAAUGUUCAAUUAACCAUUUCACAAAUUCACAAUUACACUCUACUUAUUAAUGUAUAAAUUGUUUUCUCAUUAUUUUGUCCACAAUUACAGUUUUCCUAGUGACAGAUUUUAUAAAUAUUUUAAUAUGCCUUCACCUUUCCUCUGGUCGCAGAUUAGACUAAUGAAUGUGUAGAUCAGACAGAUUUUAUGUUUUAUAAGAGAAGAAAAGACUUAAGAAAUAACACAGGAAUAUCUGUGUUUCUGUCUACAAGAAAGUUAUUGAACGAUAGAAUUUAAAACACACUUGAGUUUCUGAACAUUAGAAAAAAAUUAUCAUAGAACAGCAAUGACAAUGUUUCAAAUGUGGGCUUCUCCAUUUUUUACAGCAGACUAAUUUACUUCUUACAGAACCCUCACAGUUCUGGAAGGUAGGUUUGGUAACAAUUAUUAUUUUACAUUUUGUUGCUGAGAAAUCUGAGAUUUAUAUGAUUUGAAACACAUUUCUAAGUUCACUGAGAGGGUAAAUGGACUAACUUGAAGCAAUUCACAUCUGAAUGUUGGUUCCAAGCUAACAUUUUACUGCUGCUUAGUCAAAGAGAUGAUUAUAUAGAUGGUAACUAAGAAAAAUGGGAAGACUUAAGGGCUCUUAGGUUAACAUUCUAUCCAAGUUCCAGUCUUAAGACGCCAUUGUACUUCUUUGGCAUUUAUUCAUAUUCUCUUUGCUUGAAAUCUAAGCAUUCAAUUCCAUGCCUGGUUUCGAAAUUACUAAAUAGUGUUUGUUCUGAAUGAUUCCAUGCUCUAAGUUUGACAAUUUCACUGGACAAAAAUCAAUGAUCUUAUUUAAAAAGAACUCAAGCUUCCCACCAGAAAUGCCUUUAUAAAACUAAAGUCCUUCUAACUUAAGCUCAUACCUACAGAAUAGUAUUUGUAUCUUCUAUAGAGAGGGUUUUUCACAUUAUGAUAGUAGAAUUUAUUGCAAUCUACCCAUUGCUCUGGUUUCAUCCACUUUUUAUUUAGUGAUUGUCUGCACAAAUUGUUUCAAUGUCUUUCUUUAUUUCUUUGCUGUUGUUGUUGUUGUUGUCUUUCUGUCUUUUCUAGGGCUGCUCCCACUGCAUAUGGAGGUUCCCAGGCUAGGGGGUCUAAUCAGAGCUGUAGCCACUAGCCUACACCAGAGCCAUAGCAACGUGGAAUCUGAGCUAUGUCUUUGACCUACACCACAGCUCACGGCAAUGCCAGAUCCUUAACCCACUGAGCAAGGCCAAGGAUGGAACCUGAAACCUCAUGGUUCCUAGUAGGAUUUGUUUAUGCUGAGCCACGAUGGGAACUCCUCAAUGACUUUCAGAGCCUCAAGCAGUGGUUUUCAACUUGCAUAUGCUCAGAAUGCCAAAGAGUAAAUUUACCUUGAGGGUUGUCUCCCACUAGAAAGUGUGCCAGUACUGCCUGAUUACAAAUCAGGACUUAUAGAAGUUCCUGGUCUCAAACUUCCAAAGGGCUUUGAAUACCUUAUCACUCAUUUAGCAUCCUUAAAUUGGUUAACUUUUCAAGGAUCAAGGUCUGAAAACUUGUUAUAUUUCCUUUCAUCUUAACAAAAUUCAGUGUUAAUGAAUAUAGUUGAUGCUCAGUAAAUAUUUGUUAAGAAGAUUAGCCAAUUUGACCAUAAACUGAUUUAACCAAAAUGAGCUUAAACUAUCCCCACUUAAGAUCAGAACAAGAAUUAAAAUGAUCAAAGCACUGUAUUGUUUGCUACAAGUGGAGUUCAAUUUUAAUUCAAAUCAAUAAAACAAACCUAAUAAAUUCAGCUCAAUUUCACAGAGAUUGGAAUCCAAAUAAAUAUUUACCCAAACAUACUACUUUCGGACAUAAGAGAAACAGUGAGAUGGAAAAUGAAAGAGUCUAGGACUCUCAAUACAUCCAGUUCCCCUGAAUGUGCCUGGCGGCAACAAUGGCAGGAUGGAAUUCCAUCCAGGGCAAUUCUAUUCAAGGAAGAGCUCCCCACUCAAAUCCCUUUAAUAGC
rnacentral:lncRNA from 1 species